rnacentral:pre_miRNA from 1 species
UAACGAUUACUCUGUAGCCACUUUGAGUUAUGAUAAUUACUAUAUUAAUUUACGAGAUUAUAGUAACUCCAUACUAAAUGGUUUACUAUAACGUUAUGGUAAAUAUCUUCAUGUGUUAUAGAUCAACUAUUGUAAAUAUGUAUUGAUAUUAUCGUAAAUUAGUAUAUAAAAUUAUCAUAAAUGAAGGUGCACACACACGUUA